AAGUCUCCCCCGCCCGGUGAAAGGCCGCGGUAUUUCGCCCGCGCAAAGGAGCAUAAUCAUUAGUUUUUUAAAAGAAAGCUUGUAGAAGGGUUGAAUGAAACAUUCCCUGUCUCAUAAAAAAUUUUUAAAAUUUUAUUUUUUAGUUAAAAAGCUAAAAUUUAAUUAGAGGACGAGAAGCCCCUAUAGAGUUUAAUAAUUUUAUUAAUUUUAUAUUUAAUUAAUAAUAAUAUAGUUUAAAAAUAAAUUAUUUUAUUGGGGAGAUAAUAAAAUUUAAAAAACUUUUAUAUAAAUUUUACAAAAAUUAUUGAAUAUUUGAUCCUAUUAUAUAGAUUAAAAAUUUAAAUUACCUUAGGGAUAACAGCAUAGUUUUUUUAUAA
rnacentral:rRNA from 1 species